UACAAAAAUACUGCCAGACGGUAUUUUUUACUUUUUUACUGUGUUUUUUUAUAAGUUUCAUACUGCAGUAUACUGUGUUAAGUUUUCACUGUUGUUCUACUGGUGUUUUUUAGUUGUUCUACUGUUGUUUUGAGUUGUUCUGUUUUGUGUUCUACUGGUGUUUUAUAAAAGUACAGUAUUUUUGAAAAGAUUUCCGUGUGACAGUAUUUUUGUAAAAAUUAACCCAAAUUCCAGUAUUUUUGUAAGUUUUCCUAAAAAAAAUCAAUCUAAAAAUUCUUUAAAAUAUUUAAAAUUCCGUUUUUUUUUUUAUUUUUUUGAAACAAUCCCAAAAAGGAUAGCUCAAGUGUUGGAUUCAUGCUCUCCAUAUGUAAGGCCCAAGCCCAUAUGGCAAUGUUUGCAUUCCGUUUUACAUUUAGAAGUCAUCCAACGGUGAAUGCAAGCCAAAGUGCAGAGGAGCGGUAGAGAUGAACCACUAGCGAAAUCGUUUCAGAAAAGGCAGAAGGGCAUCGAAACGUCAUCGUAGAGGUCAAAUUAUCAGGAUGGUAAACAAACCCUAAUUUGGAGUACGAGGACAAGCAAAGCAAAGCAAAGCAACCAUUUCAUUAUUACAUAUACAAAUUAGGGUAUAGAUCUCUCUCUCUUUCACUCUUUCUCUUCUGGGUUCUAUUGAUUGAUUUAUAUAUCACAGAACAAUGGAGAUGGAUAUGAUGGUAAAUAAUAGUAAAAGGUUUGAGCAGGAAGAUAAUGUCGGGGAAAAUGGGUGUGGGAAAAUCAAGGAAGAGGGCCCCAAGUCCUUGACAAAGAAUAGCCAUUUGUGACUUUCGCAACCUCUUCCACAACAAAAUUAGCUAUUAAUUUAGGCUAUAUGGGUUGAUUAAAAAGGCGUGGGUCGCAUUCUAAUAUUGAAUGCCGAUCUAGAAUUCUCCCAACAUUACUUCUACACCCAUUUCCCCCCACUUUUCUCCUGCAUUGAUCAAAACCUCUUUUACUGAUCCUCCUUCAAUGUGAUACAUCAAGUGAAUUCCUGCAGCCUCAUGUUAUUUUCAGGCAUCGCUUGACUUGUUCAUUGAAGGUUCAUUCUUCAAGUGAUUGGGAUUUGGGGACUGCUGUUUCCCACUUCUUAUCAGUUGUUGGAGGAGAUCUAUGAUGUUCUAGUAGUGUAUAUAAAUGAUCUCUUGUGCUAUUUUUUUCUCUUUGAAAUGUUAAUAUUUCUAAACUAUAAUUUGAGAGUCAUAGAAGGGUGUUCGAUUUUGUUUUCUAAGCAUUUUCUCUAUGUAAUAUUUGAUGGACAAGAGGAACUAAUGACCACUUUUUGUACAAGAAGAAAGAGACGUAGUGAAAUAUAAUGCACUUGUUUACUUUGGAUAUUUGCUUAAA